GAUGACCCUGGGGCUUUUGCCCUGCGCCACUGGGAGGCUGGCUGGAGCUGCCAUUCACCAAGGUGGGGGCUUCCGAAGGCCAGCAUCUGAGACCCUGCUCUGUGCUCUCUUGGCUCUGCCUGCAGGAGGGGCAGGCUGGAAACCCCAGCCCAACAGCCCCUAAACCAGCCCUCCAUCAGUGACCCCCUCUCCCUCCACCUCCAGGCAGGGACCACUAGGUCCCAGAGUUCCCCAGGGGGGUUGCAUCUCAGUUGCACCCAGAGUGGUCAUGUAUGGACGUGAGAGUUGGACUAUAAAGAAAGCUGAUCACUGAAGAAUUGAUGCUUUUGAGCUGUGGUGUUGGAGAAGACUCUUGAGAGUCCCUUGGACUGCAAGGAGAUCCAACCAGUCCAUCCUAAAGGAGAUCAGUCCUGGGUGUUCAUUGGAAGGACUGAUGCUGAAGCUGAAACUCCAAUACUUCGGCCACCUCAUGAGUUGGCCUCAUUGGCCACCAAUGAGUUGACUCAUUGGAAAAGACCCUGAUGCUGGGAAAGACUGAGGGCAGGAGGAGAAGGGGAUGACAGAGGAUGAGAUGGAUCACCUUCCCCAAACUGCUUACACUUCAGUUCUCGUCUCAGGAUGGGCAUCUGGCAACCAGCCUGAGACAAGCGGAUGAGACUGGGAGCCAGCCUUGGAGCUGCUGGGUGUGCGCUGCCCGUCUCACGUGGAAGGGAUGCAGGCAGGCAGUCCCCUGAGGCUGCAGUUGAGUGAAGAGCUCCUGGCUAGAGCUGUCAGUAAUAAUCCAGCAUCCCUGGACACUCCCCAAAGUGGCAUGUUGGGGAGAAUGUUUUCAUCUUUGAGUCCCCCCAGACAGUGAGUGAGAACAGAGUCUAGACCCUCCUCACCUCCCCAGACCUGUCUGAGAGUCUCUAUCCUAAGCAACAGGGUCCAGAGCCAUCUGGGCCGGAAGAUGAGCGACACCUCAAGAAGGGGGCGCUGGGGAGGCGAAGACGGAGCGCUAAGACCGGGCGUUAGAAACAAGCAGAGCCAGCCAUGGGUCUCCACCAUUGCCGGGAACCCUCCAGCAACUGUCAGACCGCCCCCACGCCUGGCACCUUGGCAAGGAGGACAGGGCAGAGAGAACCAAUGCUGCCCAGGAGUUUUGAAAAAAAAAAUUAUUACAAAAUAAAAACUGA